CCCUGGCACAGGUUUUCCAGAGAAGCUGUGGCUGCCCCUGGAUCCCUGGGAGUGUCCAAGGAGCAGGGUCAGAAUCAGGGUUACAGCAGAAGGGGGAACUGUGCUACAGCUCUGGAGAUCUCAGUUCUCAUCAGUGGGGGGAAGUUUGCAUGGUGUGGGGGUCUGGAAGAUUCCCAGGACAGGGGCCAAGCCCCUUGUUUUGGGGUGUGAUUAUCCAACAAAAUGGGGUGGGAAUGUGCAGCAACACAAGCCAUGGGUGACGUAUCUUGGGAACACUUUAACUGGGCACAACAGCUUUCCCUGUGGGUCCUUCUGCAGCCACCAAUCCAGUCUGGAUUUUGGGCUCACCCUAGUUCUUCCCUGCCUCCCAUAACCAUGGAUUGUUUCUGUUCUGCCAGUUCCCCGAGUAUUUGGGAAUAAAAGAGGGCAGUGCUGGAUCAGGGCCAUUCCCUCAUCUCCAACAGCAGUGGCAGUAACAGCUCUUGAGAGACAAAGAGCCCACUUAGACUGUGCUGGAUGGCUUUUCCAACAUUCCCUGCAGUGGAUUUUAUGGCAACAACAACUACUGGGGAGACAAGGCUGAGGCUGUGAAGAGGGAGGAGUGGGGUGGGAGCCAGGCUGAGCUCACCGCUGUGCAGGACUGAUAAGCUGACCACGGAACUCCAGCUCAGCUCCACUCCCCCAUGUCAGAGACACCCCCAUGGUGAAGUCACGAGGUAUUUUUGUCCCCUGAGGUGCCUCAAGGCCCAGCCUGGGUGUUUGCCUUUCAGACAGAUGAAUAUACCCCGCAGUUUUACCCUCGUCAUCCAAGACACUGGAGACACAGAGCUCUUCCAGUUUUCUCCCCCCCCUUUGCGUGGCCUUCAGCCCAAAUUCCUUAGGACUAAGCCAUGGCCGUGCUGGUUUCCCACGUGAAGGACUUACAUUUCUGUAGCCACACCACAUUUUAAUUUGCUUUCUCAGCAAAAUCUUUAUAUUAAUCACAGGGAGUGGGGUUGGGCUCACUGGGUGUCCCUGCACCUGAACAGGACACCCAGGGCUGCUUUAAGCCCCUGCCUACAUUUAAUCAGAGGGAUCCCAUCCUGGGCUGCUCCUGCUGUAGAUCCAGACAACUAGUCCAGGCACUGGUGCAGAUGUUUGGAUUUAGGAAAGACCAAUCCCCUGAGUCUCAGUUUUAUGACUCUCACGUGGAGACGGAAAACUGCAGGUCAGAGGUGUUAAUUGUCACCUUGUGCUGAUGAAACAGGGGCAGGGAGGGAAGCAACAGGAAUAACAGGUUUAAAAUAUGUAAGAUGGGAAUUAAAGGGCGAAAGGAGUGGGAUGUGUUACCCUAAAGAGCCAAAAGGAGGGAAUUUGAAGGGACAGGACAUAACAAUCCUCACUUCAUGGAAGAUCAGGGUAAAGACAGCGACGAGCUGUGGGUUUGGGUGAGCUCAGGGCUAGCAGAGCUCUGCCAUGUGCAGGCAUGGGAAUAGUCCUGGAGCUCCCUGGGAAUGCCAGGGGACACUGGGAGGUCACCACUCUGAAAUCCCACAGACCAUUAAAUCCUCUUUGAUCUCUCCUGAGGAAGUUUUGCAGCGCCAGGUUGGGAAGAACUUUUAAGACCUGCCAAAACAUUCCAAGAGCCCCCAGAUGUGGUUCUAGGUGAGAAAAGCAAGACUGUAGGAGCACUUGGCCAAUCCUUGCGAUUCCAGCUAUGAAAAAUAUUCCAACAUCCAGCAGUAAAUGCAGUGCCAAUUUCAGCCAGAAGUGCUGACACUAAGCCAGGCUUUUGCACAAAGAGGAUUUCACACUUAGUUUGCUUCAGCUGAGUCGUGAAUGUAUCAGCC